GUAAAUCUCAGUAUCUUAGAGCAUUUAUUUGGAUCUAAUUUUGUCUUUGGAAAUCUAAUUUUAAUGAAAUAUCAUUUGGGUACAAAAGGACAUCAACUGGCAAUAGAAAGAAAAGAAAUAGAGGCAAACAUUAAUUAUGUGAAGUUGGUUUCCAUUUCUUCACCUGUAUGCAAGUCACCUAAAAGAAUAGUAACUUCAGCCAGUGCAAUUGUUGAAUGUAACAUUCAUUGCCCUAAAGCCUCCUUCACAAAUCCAAAUUCAGGUUGUGACCCUCCUUCCUCCUAACCUCUAUCGCAAACCCAACACCCCCGCACAAACCCAAGCCUAAACCCAACAACCAUCCUUUACAUCAAAAUUCUGCCAUAUAGCAAGACAUUCCUUGCCUGUGGCCCCUCCCAAUGCUUCUUUAACACAUAGCCUUCUCCUCAACGACACAUUGUUUUCUGCUUCAGCAUUCUUGUUUUACUCCGCAAGCCAAUAAACCCACUUUCUUUAGAAUUCUCUCAAAUUUUUUUGAGAAAAACUUUUGCUCCGAAUUUCCGUCGAAAGCUAAUGCUAGUUGUUGGAAUUGCAAUGCCCAGCAUCAACACUUACCAUUUCUGGUAAUUAUGUUGAACCAUCCAACUGGUUGAUCGCUUUUAUAGCUAGUUUGGGAGGAAGUUUUUGGAGGUAAAGAAUGGAAUUUUAAAGUAGCACGGUUGUUGGGAAGGAAGGUUUUUUUAAAGAGGUAAGGUUUUUCAAAGGUUAGGAAAUUUCUAAAACUCUUACUUUUUCGAUUCACUAAAUUGAUAGGUCUUACUUUUCAUUAUCUUACUUUACUUUAUAAAACAUUUUUUUAUUUGAUCCAAACAUGCAGUUAGUAUCUAGAGG
rnacentral:misc_RNA from 1 species